rnacentral:rRNA from 1 species
ACAAUUCUCACCCUAGCCUAAACAUGUUAACCACAGAACCAAUUUAUCUUAAUCUAAAACCAAUUAAAACAUUUUUUAUCUUUAGUAUAUGUGAUAAAAAAAGAAACUAGAGCAAUAGUGACAGUACCGCAAGGGAAAGGUGAAAUAGUAGUGAAAUAAUAUUUAAUAUAAAAAAGCAAAGAUUAAAUCUUGUACCUUUUGCAUCAUGGCUUAACAAGUCUAAUCAGGCAAAAUGAAUUUUAGUCUGACUUCCCGAAACUAAGUGAGCUACUCCGAAGCACUUUGACUCGUAACAGAAGGCAAAAGAGUGAGAAGACUUCCGAGUAGAGGCGAUAAACCUACCGAACCUAGUGAUAGCUGGUUGCUCAGGAAAAGAAUUUUAGUUCACCCUAAAAAAAUUUAAGCACUUAAAGCAUUUUUUUAGAGUUAUUCAAUUAGGGUACAGCCUAAUUGAAAUAGGAUACAACCUAAGUUUAUGGAUAAUGAUUAAACUAAUAUAAAAGUUUAAGGCUAAGUCGGCUUAAAAGCAGCCAUCUUUUAAAAAGCGUCAAAGCUUGACCUUGUAACUACUUUUAUUUGAUUAAUAUUUCAAAAUCCAAAAUUUUUACUGAGUUGUUCUAUAUUUUUAUAGAAGCAUUAAUGUUAAGACUAGUAACAUAGAAUUAUUUCUCUUUUUAUGUAAGUAAAAAUCAGAUCGAAUACAUCACUGAUAUCUACCCAGUUUUGAAUAUACAGUAAUUUUGUGACUCUUCCCCGAAAACACUACUUUUCCCCCUGUUAACCUUACACAAGAACAUAUAAGAAAGAUAUAAAGACUAAGAAGGAACUCGGCAAACACCAGUCUCGCCUGUUUACCAAAAACAUCGCCUUUUGAAAAUUAUAAAAGGUAACGCCUGCCCAGUGACAUUGUUUAACGGCCGCGGUAUUCUGACCGUGCGAAGGUAGCGUAAUCACUUGUCUUUUAAAUAAAGACUUGUAUGAAUGGCAUCACGAAGACUUAACUGUCUCCUUAGUCCUAUCAGUGAAACUGAUCUUUCCGUACAAAAGCGGAAAUAAAGUCAUAAGACGAGAAGACCCUAUGGAGCUUAAAACUAAAAUCUAGCUAUAUCAUCUAUUAAAAUUUAUUAAUACUAUAUCUUUAUAGACUUAGCCAAAGUUUUCAGUUGGGGUGACUGUGGAGAAAAACUAAUCCUCCAUGUAGAUUUAAGCCCUGAGCUACCACUCUCAGCAUUAACAAGUUUAACUUUACUUGAUCCAAUAAUUUUGAUCAACGGACCAAGUUACCCUAGGGAUAACAGCGCAAUCCAUUUUAAGAGUCCAUAUCGACAAAUGGGUUUACGACCUCGAUGUUGGAUUAGGACACCCUAGUGGUGCAGCCGCUACUAAC